rnacentral:rRNA from 1 species
GACGAACGCUGGCGGCGUGCUUAACACAUGCAAGUCGAGCGGUAAGGCCCUUUUGGGGGUACACGAGCGGCGAACGGGUGAGUAACACGUGGGUGACCUGCCCUCAGCUCUGGGAUAAGCCUGGGAAACUGGGUCUAAUACUGGAUAUGACCUUUCCUCGCAUGGGGUUGGGUGGAAAGUCUUUCGGCUGGGGAUGGGCCCGCGGCCUAUCAGCUUGUUGGUGGGGUGAUGGCCUACCAAGGCGACGACGGGUAGCCGGCCUGAGAGGGCGACCGGCCACACUGGGACUGAGACACGGCCCAGACUCCUACGGGAGGCAGCAGUGGGAAUAUUGCGCAAUGGGCGGAAGCCUGACGCAGCGACGCCGCGUGGGGAUGAC